AGACCCGAAACCCGGUGAUCUAGCCAUGGGCAGGUUGAAGGUUGGGUAACACUAACUGGAGGACCGAACCGACUAAUGUUGAAAAAUUAGCGGAUGACCUGUGGCUGGGGGUGAAAGGCCAAUCAAACCGGGAGAUAGCUGGUUCUCCCCGAAAGCUAUUUAGGUAGCGCCUCGUGAAUUCAUCUCCGGGGGUAGAGCACUGUUUCGGCUAGGGGGCCAUCCCGGCUUACCAACCCGAUGCAAACUGCGAAUACCGGAGAAUGUUAUCACGGGAGACACACGGCGGGUGCUAACGUCCGUCGUGAAGAGGGAAACAACCCAGACCGCCAGCUAAGGUCCCAAAGUCAUGGUUAAGUGGGAAACGAUGUGGGAAGGCCCAGACAGCCAGGAUGUUGGCUUAGAAGCAGCCAUCAUUUAAAGAAAGCGUAAUAGCUCACUGGUCGAGUCGGCCUGCGCGGAAGAUGUAACGGGGCUAAACCAUGCACCGAAGCUGCGGCAGCGACGCUUAUGCGUUGUUGGGUAGGGGAGCGUUCUGUAAGCCUGUGAAGGUGUGUCGUGAGGCAUGCUGGAGGUAUCAGAAGUGCGAAUGCUGACAUAAGUAACGAUAAAGCGGGUGAAAAGCCCGCUCGCCGGAAGACCAAGGGUUCCUGUCCAACGUUAAUCGGGGCAGGGUGAGUCGACCCCUAA
rnacentral:rRNA from 1 species